GUGAGUGCCCCGCACUUUAUCCAGUGCUGGUUUGUUUAUGUAGGGAGUUGCAAUGACUUAAAAGAAGUCAUUAGAGAUGUUUAAGAUUUUAACUGCUUUGACACUAGAUGUGGUCUUCACCUUUAAUGGCACCUUUUAGCAUUAAACUCUACACAUAAAUAAGCAGUGUAGGCCUUCUCGAGUCAGUUCGCUCCUGCUGCACAGCACCGAGAGGAUUCCGUCAGCUUCUUGCUCUGGUUAUGAAAAAUGCAGAACUUUCUCUAAGUAUACGCUGGAUUUCAUUGAGGAAGCAGAAAACUAAGCCUGAAGACUUACUCUACUCCGUCGCUGUUGGAUUUUCAAAAGUCACUGAAAUGAAGCUGCCGUUUUCCAAAGGACUGAGAUGCACACCAGCUGGUGUUCAGGACCCUCAACAAUUUGUCGGCUAGGUAAAUACACACCAAAAAUAAUAUUGUCAAAGCUCUCAUAACCAGUCUUUAUGUAAUCAAUCGAUGGAUUAAUCCAGAGGUUGGAAGAGGAAGGAAUUGCUGACUAGUGAUGACCCAUCCCUGGAAAUCCUGUCUCUAGUAGUCCUAACAGCCCAACAACAUGGAGAUUUGCUCAGCCGUCCAGGGGAAGACAUUUGAAUUCAGUCACGUAGGAACAACUUGCUUAAAGGACUUUAUGGCUGACUCCAUAAAGAAUGUUCACUAGCAAUUGAGCCAUCACAGAUGUGCUGAUGAAGACUUUUCUGGAAACCAGAUUUGGAGAAAUCUGAACCGUGGCAGUUAAGCAUUAAAGGAGCAUAUUAUUAAGGGAACCAGUGGUUACUCUACUAACAAAAUAAAAUCUCUUUCUUCAGAUAAAGAAAGUUAUAUUUCACCCAAUUCAUCUUAUCUGUAAAUAUGAAUUUCUUUUAUAUCUCAGAUCAUCUUAAGGUGAGGAUUUCACAGAUGAUGGUCUGGUACCAAAGAGAAAGCUAUUCCAAAGUUCUUCUGGGAAGUCUUCGUCAUGGCCCAUUAUGAAGAAGUAGUGUGGAGGAUUUUGACUUGGCUAACAACACAGAGAUAGAAAACAUGCCCAAGACUGGUGCUGAACAUUCAUUCACGUGGGAAAGGAGAAGGUACAAGUGUUGAAUACACAUAGUAAGGCCUGCCAACAUUUUCACUUCCAAGUUUCUGAAAGAAUAGGAUUUCAUCCUGGACUGGGUAAAGAGGAAAAGGCCAAGCCAAAUUUUUUCUCUGAUGUCAAUGUGUGGCUUCCAGGAAUUCCAACAGGAGCUGCCCUUGUGACUCCAAGGUCAAAAUCCACAACUCAGGGGAUUUCUGUUCCAGUGAAGCCAGCUGAGUGUAGGUGUUUUCUAAGGGAGUAAGUUCACUUUCCAGAAGUUGUAGGAGUUUUGGAAGUAAAGACUCCCACAGACAAUACUAGGGACAUUGGGACGCUCAAGAAGACAGUCAAGCUUCUCGAUUUCAGGCUUCAUCCAAUUAUAUCAUUUGAAAUAGAUUCAAGAGAUUUUAUAUUUCGCUUCCACCUCUUUCUACUUAAACAUCCAAAGACGCCAGAAGGUUCAAGAAUUUCAUCUAGGAAUAAAGAUUCUUUAGUCUCUCUCUUCUCUGGACUACAACCUGAAAGACAAUUCCUUGUUCCAUGCCCCAACUGCCUACUCCUUACAUCUCCCUGCAGGUUGUUGAUUUCAUCCUGGUUGGGUAAACAAAUAUGGCGCUUAAUUACAUUGGUCCAUUCAGUUUGACAUCAUCCUUUGCAAAUGGCUUGCAUUAAGAUCCAAAUCAGCCAUCUGGAAUCUGGAACAUGCUCUCUCCUAUAGGGUUGCUCUUUCAAUGCCAGAUCUGGUCUGAACUUGAGAAACAAUAUCAACUGUAUGAGUGAUAUUUUAGCCCAGAGUUUCCUCUUCUCUGGAAAAUUCAGAGAAUUGGAGGCACCAUUCCCCCUUGACCCAAUGCAGGAAAUUGUGACUGUCAGUGAUAGAGUGAACUCACAGACAAUGUCUGAACUGGGAUUAACACACACUAAUGCACAGUGGGCAAGUAUGGUCCAAAUUCAAUAGCUGCAAUUUAUGAAAAGAAAGGGCCGUGGGGGAAGGGAACGACUGAGGAGUCUAGGCAUCUGAGUGAUGUUUGAACUUUUCCCUUUAACAAGGAUCUGUUUUUCUAAAAACCCAACUCUCUCAAAUUAGUUGGGUCAUUGUUCCUUGGGAGUUUUAUUUCUCUAUGGGGAGGAUUUCCAACACAC
rnacentral:lncRNA from 1 species